rnacentral:rRNA from 1 species
AGUGAACGCUGGCGGUAGGCCUAACACAUGCAAGUCGAACGGCAGCACAGUAAGAGCUUGCUCUUACGGGUGGCGAGUGGCGGACGGGUGAGGAAUACAUCGGAAUCUACUUUUUCGUGGGGGAUAACGUAGGGAAACUUACGCUAAUACCGCAUACGACCUACGGGUGAAAGCAGGGGAUCUUCGGACCUUGCGCGAUUGAAUGAGCCGAUGUCGGAUUAGCUAGUUGGCGGGGUAAAGGCCCACCAAGGCGACGAUCCGUAGCUGGUCUGAGAGGAUGACCCGCCAACUUGGAAAGGGACAACGGUCCAGACCCCUAGGGGGGGCAGCGGGGGGGAAUAUUGGAAAAGGGGGGAAAGCCUGAUCCAGCCAUACCGGGGGGGUGAAGAAGGCUUUCGGGUUUAAAAGCCCUUUUUUUGGGAAAAAAAAGCAGCAGGUUAAAACCCCGCUGUUGUGACGGUACCCAAAGAAUAAGCACCGGCUAACUUCGU